rnacentral:rRNA from 1 species
GAGUUUAAUCAUGGCUCAGAUUGAACGCUGGCGGCAUGCCUUACACAUGCAAGUCGAACGGCAGCACGGGAGCUUGCUCCUGGUGGCGAGUGGCGAACGGGUGAGUAAUGCAUCGGAACGUAUCCUGGAGUGGGGGAUAACGUAGCGAAAGUUACGCUAAUACCGCAUAUUCUGUGAGCAGGAAAGCGGGGGACCUUCGGGCCUCGCGCUCUUGGAGCGGCCGAUGUCGGAUUAGCUAGUUGGUGAGGUAAAGGCUCACCAAGGCGACGAUCCGUAGCAGGUCUGAGAGGAUGAUCUGCCACACUGGAACUGAGACACGGUCCAGACUCCUACGGGAGGCAGCAGUGGGAAUUUUGGACAAUGGGGGCAACCCUGAUCCAGCCAUGCCGCGUGAGUGAAGAAGGCCUCGGUU